CUUACUAAUAUACAACUUGAGUUACAUGAUUAACUUCAGGAAUACCUGAUCCUCGUUCCUUCUCGGAAGUAUAACUCAUGAAUCCUUUUAAUAGGGUAGAGUAUCAUUGUCUACAAGAUAUUACUCUCCUGGGGGCCCAUAUCUGAAGCCAUGAAUCCAAGAAAUUAUUGAAUGCCAUAUUUUGACUAACCAAUUUACACCUUACUAACUCAUGCAAU
rnacentral:lncRNA from 1 species